UUAGACUGGGAUAACAGCGGGAAACUGGUGCUAAUACCGCAUAUGUGUAAGCUGAAAUGCUUAUCAUGAAAGCUCCGGCGCCCUAAGAUGAGCUGCGGCUGAUUAGCUAGUUGGUGGGGUAAUGGCUUACCAAGGCGACGAUCAGUAGCUGGUCUAAGAGGAUGAUCAGCCACAAUGGGACUGAGACACGGCCCAUACUCCUACGGGAGGCAGCAGUAGGGAAUAUUGCGCAAUGGACGAAAGUCUGACGCAGCAACACCGCGUGAGGGUUGAAGCUUUUUGGAGUGUAAACCUCUGUCAGUGGGGACGAAUAAAUGACGGUACCCACAAAGGAAGCAUCGGCUAACUACGUGCCAGCAGCCGCGGUAAGACGUAGGAUGCAAGCGUUGUCCGGAAUUAUUGGGCGUAAAGAGUUCGUAGGCGGUCUAUCAAGUCUGGUGUUAAAUCCCGGGGCUCAACUCCGGACCGGCACUGGAUACUGGCAGGCUAGAGUGCAGUAGAGGCAAGGGGAAUUCCCGGUGUAGCGGUGAAAUACGUAGAUAUUGGGAGGAACACCGGUGGCGUAAGCGCCUUGCUGGGCUGUUACUGACGCUGAGGAACGAAAGCCAGGGGAGCAAA
rnacentral:rRNA from 1 species